rnacentral:rRNA from 1 species
GUGUAUGAAGAAGGCCUUCGGGUUGUAAAGUACUUUCAGCGGGGAGGAAGGCGAUGCGGUUAAUAACCGCGUCGAUUGACGUUACCCGCAGAAGAAGCACCGGCUAACUCCGUGCCAGCAGCCGCGGUAAUACG